UUUCCGUAGGUGAACCUGCGGAAGGAUCAUUAGUGAAUUGAAAAUGUUAGCGGACUUCUUCGGAGUCCUUAGCAUCAAACCAUAUCCAUAAUACUCGUGAACUGUAAGGUUGUCUUGAAAACGAAAGUGAUUAUAGCGCCUGUCCAUUUUUUACAAACAUUAAAGUAACAAACGAAGACUUAUAAAAAUUUAAUAACACUUUCAACAACGGAUCUCUUGGCUCUC
rnacentral:misc_RNA from 1 species